rnacentral:rRNA from 1 species
CUGGUUGAUCCUGCCAGUAGUCAUAUGCUUUGUCUCAAAGAUAGCCACGCAUGUCUCAGUAUAAGUCUUUUCACGUCGAAACUGCGAAUGGCUCAUUAAAACAGUUUUAGUCUAUUCGAUAGUCAUUAGUUAUUUGGAUAACUGUGGUAAUUCCGGAGCUAAUACAUGCACAAAGACCAACUCCUCGGAAGGGUCGUAUUUAUUAGAUACAGAACCAAUCGGCUUUGCCGUUUUUGGAUGAUUCAUAAUAAAUGAACGGAGCGCAUGACUUGUGUCGGCGCUGAGUCGUUCGAGAUUCUGACCUAUCAGCUUUCGACGGUAGGGUAUAGGCCUACCGUGGCAUUGACGGGUAACGGAGAAUUAGGGUUCGAUUCCGGAGAGGGAGCCCGAGAAACGGCUACCACAUCUAGGAAGGCAGCAGGCGCGCAAAUUACCCAAUCCUGACACUAGGGAGGUAGUGACAAGAAAUAACAAAGCAAGCCUAUUCUGGUUUUGCUAUUGGAAUG